ACCGUAGGGGAACCUGCGGUUGGAUCACCUCCUUACCUAAAGAUAUUAGUUCGAGUGGCGUGCUCACACAGAUUGUCUGAUAGAAAGUAACGAGCAGAAAUACCUUUAUAGGCUUGUAGCUCAGGUGGUUAGAGCGCACCCCUGAUAAGGGUGAGGUCGGUGGUUCAAGUCCACUCAGGCCUACCACUUCUCGGAAGUGGAAAAGGUACUGCGCGUGACUGUAUGGGGCUAUAGCUCAGCUGGGAGAGCGCCUGCCUUGCACGCAGGAGGUCAGCGGUUCGAUCCCGCUUAGCUCCACCAUAUAGUCCGGUAUUUAAUACUUCAGAGUAUAUUGGCGACAGUAUGCUGCGAAGUAUUUUGCUCUUUAACAAUCUGGAACAAGCUGAAAAUUGAAACAUGACGGCUGAAAUUUAUCCCUCCGUAGACGUAUUGGGAUGAAGAGUAACCUGUCAUAGAGUCUCUCAAAUGUUUGCAGCGCGAACGAUGGAAACAUCUUCGGGUUGUGAGGUUAAGUGACUAAGCGUACACGGUGGAUGCCUAGGCAGUCAGAGGCGAUGAAGGGCGUGCUAAUCUGCGAAAAGCGUCGGUAAGGUGAUAUGAACCGUUAUAACCGGCGAUACCCGAAUGGGGAAACCCAGUGUGUUUCGACACAUUAUCAUGUCAUGAAUACAUAGUGGCAUGAGGCGAACCGGGG
rnacentral:misc_RNA from 1 species